AUGGACAUAGCAUAUUAUGGAAAGAUUGAAAAUCAUGUUUAUUUCACUAUAGUUGGAUUUGGAGCCUUAUAUCUCUGCAGGAAAAAUCCAAACUUGAUGUAUGAUCUAUACACAGUUGUUGUGCAUAGCGAAUACACAACUAAUUCAAGGCAUUACUUUGACUAUGUGUGUUCUGAUGAAAAAGCUUGGCAUUUGAUGGAUGACUCUGACGUAAAAUAUCAAUGGAAGUUUCUUCCUAUAAUAUAG